UCAAACAGCGGCCUUCGGGCCUCGCUGCACCCUUGUCUUUUGCGCACCGUAUUGUUUCCUCGGCGGGCUUGCCUGCCGGUUGGACAUCAUCAAAACCUUUUUGUAGUUGCAUCAGCGUCAGAAAACAAAUAAUUAUUA
rnacentral:misc_RNA from 1 species